GCCUGGCUGACUCAGUUGGUAGAGCAUGUGACUCUUGAUCUCAGGAUUGUGAGUUUGAGUCCCAUGUUGGGUG
rnacentral:tRNA from 1 species